rnacentral:rRNA from 7 species
GGUUUACCUGUGUGACUGCGUACCUUUUGUAUAAUGGGUCAGCGACUUAUAUUCUGUAGCAAGGUUAACCGAAUAGGGGAGCCGGAGGGAAACCGAGUCUUAAUUGGGCGUUAAGUUGCAGGGUAUAGACCCGAAACCCGGUGAUCUAGCCAUGGGCAGGUUGAAGGUUGGGUAACACUAACUGGAGGACCGAACCGACUAAUGUUGAAAAAUUAGCGGAUGACCUGUGGCUGGGGGUGAAAGGCCAAUCAAACCGGGAGAUAGCUGGUUCUCCCCGAAAGCUAUUUAGGUAGCGCCUCGUGAAUUCAUCUCCGGGGGUAGAGCACUGUUUCGGCUAGGGGGCCAUCCCGGCUUACCAACCCGAUGCAAACUGCGAAUACCGGAGAAUGUUAUCACGGGAGACACACGGCGGGUGCUAACGUCCGUCGUGAAGAGGGAAACAACCCAGACCGCCAGCUAAGGUCCCAAAGUCAUGGUUAAGUGGGAAACGAUGUGGGAAGGCCCAGACAGCCAGGAUGUUGGCUUAGAAGCAGCCAUCAUUUAAAGAAAGCGUAAUAGCUCACUGGUCGAGUCGGCCUGCGCGGAAGAUGUAACGGGGCUAAACCAU